rnacentral:rRNA from 1 species
GUACGCAGCUAUAUCGCCCUGCAGCUCUCGGCUAGCUACCCACUAAAGCUAAGCACGGUUGAGCCCGGUCAGUACCUGGAUGAGAGACCUCCUGGGAAGCUAUGGUUUCUGCUGGAA